rnacentral:rRNA from 1 species
GACGAACGCUGGCGGCGUGCUUAACACAUGCAAGUCGAACGGAAAGGCCCUGCUUUUGUGGGGUGCUCGAGUGGCGAACGGGUGAGUAACACGUGAGUAACCUGCCCUUGACUUUGGGAUAACUUCAGGAAACUGGGGCUAAUACCGGAUAGGAGCUCCUGCUGCAUGGUGGGGGUUGGAAAGUUUCGGCGGUUGGGGAUGGACUCGCGGCUUAUCAGCUUGUUGGUGGGGUAGUGGCUUACCAAGGCUUUGACGGGUAGCCGGCCUGAGAGGGUGACCGGCCACAUUGGGACUGAGAUACGGCCCAGACUCCUACGGGAGGCAGCAGUGGGGAAUAUUGCACAAUGGGCGGAAGCCUGAUGCAGCAACGCCGCGUGCGGGAUGACGGCCUUCGGGUUGUAAACCGCUUUCGCCUGUGACGAAGCGUGAGUGACGGUAAUGGGUAAAGAAGCACCGGCUAACUACGUGCCAGCAGCCGCGGUGAUACGUAGGGUGCGAGCGUUGUCCGGAUUUAUUGGGCGUAAAGGGCUCGUAGGUGGUUGAUCGCGUCGGAAGUGUAAUCUUGGGGCUUAACCCUGAGCGUGCUUUCGAUACGGGUUGACUUGAGGAAGGUAGGGGAGAAUGGAAUUCCUGGUGGAGCGGUGGAAUGCGCAGAUAUCAGGAGGAACACCAGUGGCGAAGGCGGUUCUCUGGGCCUUUCCUGACGCUGAGGAGCGAAAGCGUGGGGAGCGAACAGGCUUAGAUACCCUGGUAGUCCACGCUGUAAACGGUGGGUACUAGGUGUGGGGUCCAUUCCACGGGUUCCGUGCCGUAGCUAACGCUUUAAGUACCCCGCCUGGGGAGUACGGCCGCAAGGCUAAAACUCAAAGGAAUUGACGGGGCCCCGCACAAGCGGCGGAGCAUGCGGAUUAAUUCGAUGCAACGCGUAGAACCUUACCUGGGUUUGACAUGGAUCGGGAGUGCUCAGAGAUGGGUGUGCCUCUUUUGGGGUCGGUUCACAGGUGGUGCAUGCCUGUCGUCAGCUCGUGUCGCGAGGUGUUGGGUUAAGUCCCGCAACGAGCGCAACCCUUGUUCACUGUUGCCAGCACGUUAUGGUGGGGACUCAGUGGAGACCGCCGGGGUCAACUCGGAGGAAGGUGGGGAUGACGUCAAGUCAUCAUGCCCCUUAUGUCCAGGGCUUCACGCAUGCUACAAUGGCUGGUACAGAGAGUGGCGAGCCUGUGAGGGUGAGCGAAUCUCGGAAAGCCGGUCUCAGUUCGGAUUGGGGUCUGCAACUCGACCUCAUGAAGUCGGAGUCGCUAGUAAUCGCAGAUCAGCAACGCUGCGGUGAAUACGUUCCCGGGGCU